rnacentral:rRNA from 1 species
UACGGGGGGGGCAAACGUUGUUCGGAAUUAUUGGGCGUAAAGAGCUCGUAGGCGGUCUGUCGCGUCGGAUGUGAAAACCCAGGGCUCAACCCUGGGCCUGCAUUCGAUACGGGCAGACUAGAGUUCGGUAGGGGAGACUGGAAUUCCUGGUGUAGCGGUGAAAUGCGCAGAUAUCAGGAGGAACACCGGUGGCGAAGGCGGGUCUCUGGGCCGAAACUGACGCUGAGGAGCGAAAGCGUGGGGAGCAAACAGG